CAAUACAGCUAGAAGCUCAGAAGCUACUGACAUUACCAGCAGAGUCAGGCUGCAGAACCAUGGAGAGCUCAAUGUAAAUGACCAAAACUGAUUAGUUUUCAUAUUUUUGUUUGUAUUACCUUUUUUUUUUUUUUUUUUUUUAAAUCUUGGUUUACGGUCCCCUGUAUGAGGGGAUAUUACAGUCCUUUGAGUUCCCAUCUCUUUUGAUGGUAGGUUAUUCCUCCACAGAAACCUGGCACAGAAAUAUUGUGGCAGCCUACUGUUUCCUAGCAUGGGUAGUUUAUUCUCUGUAUUCCAUUCACACAUUGGUGUCCUUACCAUGACAGCCAACAUGGGUGCUAAUUAGCAGCUACACUCCUGCUGGCAGGUGGUGUGGGCACCCAUCAGGUAGAACCUGAACUGAAUUUAAUUAGCAUUACCAAUUAAGUGCUUUGUUAUUUGCACUGCAGUAAUGCCAUAAGGUCCUAGCUAGUGCUAGGAGCCAAAUACACAGAACUGGAAGAGGCAGUCUGUGAAAAAUAUGUUAGGACCCUGAGGGCACUAAUAAAGCUUAGUCACCCUGAGCAGCCUCACCUGGGACCCACAUCCCUGGGCCCAAGAGAUCUAUUUAAGCUCCAGCUUAGGAGCCUUAGCCCUUCCAAAGCUCUUGCUGUGGGUGCAUCUGCUCUUAGCUCUGCUGCAGAUCUUGUCUUACAUGUGGUUCUGUCCUGUAGGUAACUUGUUUCCAGGUUGGUCUCCUGGAUGGGCUUCAGACCUAUGCUGUUGCCUUAUUUCUAGCCCUUCCUACUUUUGCUCCUGCAUGGAUUCCUUGGAUGGUUCCCAUCUACAUAUAUUGGCUUGCUUUGUCUGGGACUGUUGGCAGACCCUCUGAUCUGUCUGUAGUGGGGAAGAGAUGCAGCCCUCAUUCCCCAGGAUGGACAGAAGGAAAUGGUGGGGCUAUGUGUGGUUAUCUCAUCUGUCAGUUCUUAAACACAGGCAUAAGUCUCACUGAAGUCAAGGCAAGCACAUUAAAGGUAAGUGUAUGCUAAGCAUUUUGUUAUAUUGAGG
rnacentral:lncRNA from 1 species